UGGGGAAUAUUGGACAAUGGGCGCAAGCCUGAUCCAGCCAUGCCGCGUGAGUGAUGAAGGCUUUAGGGUUGUAAAGCUCUUUCGCCGAUGAAGAUAAUGACGGUAGUCGGAGAAGAAGCCCCGGCUAACUUCGUGCCAGCAGCCGCGGUAAUACGAAGGGGGCUAGCGUUGUUCGGAAUUACUGGGCGUAAAGCGAGCGUAGGUUGUGCCGCAAGUCAGGGGUGAAAUCCCAGAGCUUAACUCUGGAACUGCCUUUGAAACUGCGGUGCUAGAAUCUCAGAGGGGGUAGCGGAAUUCCAAAUGUAGGGGUGAAAUCCGUAGAUAUUUGGAGGAACACCGGUGGCGAAGGCGGCUACCUGGAUGAGUAUUGACACUGAGGCUCGAAAGCGUGGGGAUCAAACAGGAUUAGAUACCCCCGUAGUCC
rnacentral:rRNA from 1 species